UAUGGGGGGGGUAAGCGUUGUUCGGAAUUACUGGGCGUAAAGGGCUCGUAGGCGGCCAACUAAGUCAGACGUGAAAUCCCUCAGCUUAACUGGGGAACUGCGUCUGAUACUGGAUGGCUUGGAUUCGGGAGAGGAAUGCGGAAUUCCAGGUGUAGCGGUGAAAUGCGUAGAUAUCUGGAGGAACACCGGUGGUGUAGACGGCUGACUGGACCACGACUGACGCUGAGGCACGAAAGCGUGGGUAGCAAACAGG
rnacentral:rRNA from 1 species